UACGGGGGGGGCAAGCGUUGUUCGGAAUUACUGGGCGUAAAGGGCUCGUAGGUGGCCAACUAAGUCGGACGUGAAAUCCCUCGGCUUAACCGGGGAACUGCGUCCGAUACUGGAUGGCUUGAGUUUGGGAGAGGGAUGCGGAAUUCCAGGUGUAGCGGUGAAAUGCGUAGAUAUCUGGAGGAACACCGGUGGCGAAGGCGGCGUUCUGGACUGUAACUGACACUGAACAACGAAAGCCAGGGGAGCAAACGGG
rnacentral:rRNA from 1 species